CCACCACCUCCCCUCCAUGUGACCAACUCCAUGCCCUCCCAGUGCCGGUGUCCAACGCCAGCAUCACGGUGCUGGGGACGGAGGUGGGAGCAGAGCUGGUGGGGACGGCGGGCGAAGAGCUGACGCUGAGCUGCAGGGUGGGGAUGGGGACGGGGCAGGUGGGCUUCGUGUGGCUGCGGGACGGGCAGGAGCUGAGCACGGGCCCCACGUGGCACCUGGGGGUGCUGGGGCCGGAGCACGCGGGCACCUAUCAGUGCGUGGCCACCAACAGCCUGGGGUCCCAGCGCGUCUUCAGGGCACGCAGCCCCGAGGUGCUCCUCGUGGUGACACAGCAGGGCUGGGGACAGCAGCGGGCACAAGUCCUGGCUAUAAGGCUGAGCGUGUUCUUCCUGGUGCUGUUGGCUGCCAAUGCUGUGCUGGGUUGGCACCUGAGACUCUGGUUUCAGCUAGCAGCAUCCAAGAGCCAGCACAGGUGUGUGCAACACCCAGCCAAGCCACCCUCCAUCCUUCGGUUCCAUCCCUUACCCCCAUGAUCCCUUUGCCCCCCCCCAGGGACCCCACGCCCCCUCCUCGCCCUUCUUCCCCUCCCACGGAGCCCUCGGAGCACGAAUACAUCAACGUCCUGCCGGGGACACCGAGUGCUGAGGACGUCCUGUACUCCACCGUCACCAUCAGAGAGCACAGAGGGGGUGUGGCCCCAUGUGGUCACUCAGCCCCCCAAGAGGCUGCUGUCACCUACACAGCACUGCCCGCUGCCUGCAGUGCCACCAACCUCCGGGGGAUGCAGCAUCCCCUAAGUGACAGUUAUGAGAACUUCCUCUGCAAAUAAAUGGCAGUCAUUCGUUGCCCCAAAUGUCUGUUUUUUUACCCUAAAUCUCCUUCCAAACUGAUGCUCACCCGCUCAGCCCCUUCUGUCCCAUUGCAAAACGGGGCCAUUCCUCUCAUUUCCCCCAAAACCACCCCAGCACAGGAGGGGAGAAGCGUGGAAGGCAUUGCUUUCACCCCUGAAGUGGCAUUUUGGGGCUAUUUGGGGUGAAAAUGGCAUUUUCCCUCCUCAGUCCCCAUGCGAAGUGAUGAGAACCUCUCCUCUGUGUGACAACGGGGGACCCAAGUGACACAAAGUGCCGGCCGUGUGCUGUGCUCCAUGUGUGGACACGCAGUGCACAAAGUGCUCCUAUAGCAAAUCCCACUUAUAC
rnacentral:lncRNA from 1 species